rnacentral:rRNA from 1 species
GACGUAGGGCGCGAGCGUUGUCCGGAUUUAUUGGGCGUAAAGAGCUUGUAGGCGGUUUGUCGCGUCUGCCGUGAAAUUUCGAGGCUCAACCUCGAACUUGCGGUGGGUACGGGCAGACUAGAGUGUGGUAGGGGAGACUGGAAUUCCUGGUGUAGCGGUGAAAUGCGCAGAUAUCAGGAGGAACACCGAUGGCGAAGGCAGGUCUCUGGGCCACUACUGACACUGAGAAGCGAAAGCAUGGGGAGCGAACAGG